GUAUAGCCUGUAAUGGGCUGUGAAAUAUCUCCAGGAACAUUAAGUCUGUUAUUUCUCUCUUCAGAUCUUGGUUUUCAAGGAUUUCUGUAGAGUUGGUCUCUAAGAGUUCUAUUUUGAAAAUCAAAGAUCUCUAUCCUAAUAAUUUAGUGGUUACAUUUGUGUGUGCUUGAAAGCACCUGUUUUAUUUGCACUUACAUAUUGACAUUCCUUUAAUUCUCUCCUUCUCAGUGACUAAUCUUCACGUAUAAUUGGUGUUAGUGUACUUAGCUUUCCGAAGUUGGAGGCAAGUGCAAUAGUUAUUCCUAUAUAUGAAAACAAAAGCACAAUCUUUCUUUAUAAAAUUACUUCAGGAUGUUUCUAUGUCUAUUAAAUAUUUUGUAUCUGUAUGUUGUAGAGAGGCUGCAGAAUUCAUUUAUAAAUGGAUGAUUGGUAGAACACAAGACACUUGCUAAAACAGAGAACUUAAGGCAGUAGAUUUUUUUCAGGUGUAUCUGAAGAUGCUUUGAGUUUCUUUGACAGCUUCAUUAGAAACUUGGGUCAACAAUCAGCCUGAUAAAAGGAGUGAAAACCAGCGAAGUAGCCACCCACCAACAUUGACUAUUCACUUAACCAGUAUGGAUUAGUAAAAAAGAGAUUAUUUCACAAGUAAUAGAUUGAAACUUGAUCUAGAUCCUUUCUCAAAUGUUGCACACAUUUUAAUUCUAGUGAAAAAGUGAUUAGAAGAACCCCCAUGAGCGUGUUUCCAGCUUGUCUUUGACAAUCAGUACCCUUUGCCUUCGGUAUACUUUCCCGACAAACAUACAGUAGCUAUGCUGCAGUGCUCCUUAACAAAUCGGCACUUGGUGUUACUCUUGAAGUGAGAUAGUUGAGUUUUCAUAGUCUCUAAAUAUUUGAAUUUCCCCACUUACUGUGGCGGUAAGAUUUAAGCUGAUGUAAAUACCUUUUGGCAUUUUGAGGUGGUUUUACCUAAACCAGUGCCCUCCCUACUUGGCUCUGGUUUGCUUACUGCUACACUCCGAAGGAACAGAACAUGGAAUAUUUCCUUUAGAGUAUCACUGCCUCUCAGUUAACUGUCCUGCUGAACACUCCUCCCUGAUCCGAAGAGCUCCAAGACGGUUUAGGUUGCUAGCGGAUUCAGUGCAUCCUUCCUACCUCCUUUUCUUCCUCAUCCUUCCCUUCAUUUGAAUGUUCCAGGUUUUCACAUGCAACCUAAAUCAGAAUCUUGGGGAAGGGAAAGGGAGGAGUAACCAGGGUGUUCCAAAAUUUGUGUAGACAAACAUUGUUGGAGAAUCUGUUUACUGUCUUUGGUUCAUAUGAUGAUUUGCUGGUGGUUUUGAUGUGGGCAACUUCUUUGCAAAAGAACUUCUAAACAGUUUGGUUUUUUGUUUUGUUUUGUUUUUUAAUUGUUUAGCUUUCUGAGCUGAUACUUCUCAUUUUCCAAUUCAGCAGGCAACCUAGAUCAUAUCUGAAACACUGGGUCCAUGUCACUGUGGAUCACGGCAGCUGUACACUCCUGUCGAUACUAAUGUAGACUUCAACAGCUUGCCUGGGGAAGCAGCACUCCUGUACUUACUUCCAGUAAGGUAAAGUAGUAUGUGUGUAUAGGCUGUUUGAAACAAAUCCUACUGUAAUGUUCUUUACCUUAAAUACACUGUACUAAAGUUUAUUGUAAUAAGUGAAUUAAUGAAAAUAAACCUUUUAUUUCUCUA